rnacentral:rRNA from 1 species
AGUAGUGUAUGCUUCUCCUAAAGACUAAGCCAUGCAUGCCUUCGAAUACGAGGAAGCAAUUCUCUCUGAAUCUGCGAACGGCUCCGCAAACCAGUUGUAAACCAAAGCAAGCAAGUCCAUGGACCGCCCUUCACGGGGUGGGCUGUGGGCGAUACGGAUAACCCUGGUAAUUCUGAGGCUAAUACGAGAACGUAAUCCCUGGCUAACCGGGCAACUGGAAGGCCGGGGGGCGUGUGAUCUAUUUGCAAGGAUGAUCCAGGAAGGGGCGCACGCUCGGACCACGACAAAGACAGUUCCGACAAACCUCCGGGUGAGUUGGUCCUGAGUGGCUCUUGCGAAGUGCUUCUGACCUAUCAACUAGAUGGCAGCGUAACGGACAUGCCAUGGUUACAACGGGUACAGAGGAUUAGGGUUCGAUCCUGGAGAGUGGGCCUGAGAGAUUGCUCAUACUUCUAAGGAAGGCAGCAGGCGCGCAACGUUCCCAUUGGGCAAUGCCCGAGGGCGUUAGGGGACAUAUGAAUGGUUGCCUUUUUGGUGGCCAAUUCAAAUGGGUCUGUUCUAAACAGUCUCU